rnacentral:tRNA from 1 species
UGGCUCAGACGGUAAAGCGUCUGCCUGCAAUGCAGGAGACCGGGGUUCAAUCCCUG